GGGAGACUGGAAUUCCUGGUGUAGCGGUGGAAUGCGCAGAUAUCAGGAGGAACACCGGUGGCGAAGGCGGGUCUCUGGCCAGUAACUGACGCUGAGGAGCGAAAGCGUGGGGAGCGAACAGGAUUAGAUACCCUGGUAGUCCACGCCGUAAACGGUGGGUACUAGGUGUGGGUUUCCUUCCUUGGGAUCCGUGCCGUAGCUAACGCAUUAAGUACCCCGCCUGGGGAGUACGGCCGCAAGGCUAAAACUCAAAGAAAUUGACGGGGGCCCGCACAAGCGGCGGAGCAUGUGGAUUAAUUCGAUGCAACGCGAAGAACCUUACCUGGGUUUGACAUGCACAGGACGACGGCAGAGAUGUCGUUUCCCUUGUGGCCUGUGUGCAGGUGGUGCAUGGCUGUCGUCAGCUCGUGUCGUGAGAUGUUGGGUUAAGUCCCGCAACGAGCGCAACCCUUGUCUCAUGUUGCCAGCGGGUAAUGCCGGGGACUCGUGAGAGACUGCCGGGGUCAACUCGGAGGAAGGUGGGGAUGACGUCAAGUCAUCAUGCCCCUUAUGUCCAGGGCUUCACACAUGCUACAAUGGCCGGUACAAAGGGCUGCGAAGCCGCGAGGUGGAGCGAAUCCUUUAAAGCCGGUCUCAGUUCGGAUCGGGGUCUGCAACUCGACCCCGUGAAGUUGGAGUCGCUAGUAAUCGCAGAUCAGCAACGCUGCGGUGAAUACGUUCCCGGGCCUUGUACACACCGCCCGUCACGUCAUGAAAGUCGGUACACCCGAAGCCGGUGGCCUAACCCGUAAGGGAGGGAGCC
rnacentral:rRNA from 1 species